rnacentral:rRNA from 1 species
GGGGAAUUUUCCGCAAUGGGCGCAAGCCUGACGAAGCAAUGCCGCGUGAGGGAUGAAGCCCCUCGGGGUGUAAACCUCUUUUAUCAGGGACGAGAAACAAGACGGUACCUGAUGAAUAAGCAUCGGCUAACUACGUGCCAGCAGCGGUAAUACGUAGGAUGCGAGCGUUAUCCGGAUUUACUGGGCGUAAAGGGUAUGCAGGCGGUCUGGUUAGUCUAUCGUUAAAUCCCGAUGCUCAACAUCGGAAUCGCGGUGGAUACUGCCAGACUAGAGGGAAAGAGAAGAAAGUGGAAUUCCCGGUGUAGCGGUAAAAUGCAUUGAUAUCGGGAGGAACACCAGAAGCGAAGGCGACUUUCUAUCUUUCAUCUGACGCUAAGAUACGAAAGCUAGGGUAGCGAAAGGGAUUAGAUACCCCUGUAGU